AUCCGCUCACCCCAGCCACCAAUAUCAAUCAGAAACAGGGCGUGGUGCCUAGCAAGAAUACAUCACGGCGCUCGUUCAUGGAUAUAUACUAAUCAGCGUGAUUAGUAUUUAGGAGGUGCUGGAGGUAACCGGUUUGGAGUGCGUCGGCUGCCGGAGUUGGCACCGGAGGUCACGUCGCCGUUUUCAUAGCGCCCUCUGCGUCCAUCAGCGCUUCUUGACCUUGAUUCGCUGCCUGAGCUGGGUCCGUUGGAUGCGGAAUCGAAGGCAGACCUCCAAUCCUCACCUGGGCGGUUGGGUGUCCGGGGGCUCUCUGCAAAUGAUUCCAUAUCAUUGGCAUAAGAAGCAGCCCUGUUGUCAUGGACACUAAGUUGACGGGUAAGCUUUGACAAGAGAGAUGAUUGUUUUUGGUAUUUUUCCCUUCUACGUUUAGCAUUAUGGUCCUCUUGCAGAAGCUCUUCAAUUUUUGCAUUGCUUUGCCCACUUAUUGAACUAUAUAGCUGGUUUAGCAUAUCUUCCUUUGCCUUCUCCACUUGGCACAACACAAUAGCCUUUGGGACAUUUGCUGCCAGACUAUUCAAAACAGCCUCAACAUAACCACGAACUUCAUGGGACAUCCAUCUAAGUUCUUCUUCAGGAUCAGCAGGUCUCCGUGCCAUAGUAUCCUUUGAAAACACCAUCGGAAUUGCUUUGUCUCAUGGAACCACCAUCAGUAUUUGGACCCUUGAAUGAUCCCC
rnacentral:sRNA from 1 species